UACGGAGGAUGCGAGCGUUAUCCGGAUUUAUUGGGUUUAAAGGGUGCGUAGGCGGUCCGUUAAGUCAGCGGUCAAAUCGUGGGGCUCAACCCCAUCCAGCCGUUGAAACUGGGGAUCUAGAGUGUGCGAGAGGUAUGCGGAAUGCGUGGUGUAGCGGUGAAAUGCAUAGAUAUCACGCAGAACCCCGAUUGCGAAGGCAGCAUACCGGUGCACAACUGACGCUGAGGCACGAAAGUGCGGGUAUCGAACAGG
rnacentral:rRNA from 1 species